GCGCCUUGCCAGCCCGCUCAGAAACUUAAAGGAAUUGACGGGGGCCCGCACAAGCGGUGGAGCAUGUGGUUUAAUUCGAUGAUACGCGAGGAACCUUACCUGGGCUCAAAUGUAUGUUGACGUAUUCUGAAAGGGAUACUUCUUCGGACAAUAUACAAGGUGCUGCAUGGUUGUCGUCAGCUCGUGCCGUGAGGUGUCGGGUUAAGUCCCAUAACGAGCGCAACCCCUGCCUUUAGUUGCCAGCAGUUCGGCUGGGCACUCUAAAGGGACUGCCGGUGUUAAACCGGAGGAAGGUGGGGAUGACGUCAAGUCCUCAUGGCCUUUAUGACCAGGGCUACACACGUACUACAAUGGCCGAUACAAAGGGCAGCGACACUGCGAGGUGAAGCCAAUCCCGUAAAAUCGGUCUCAGUCCGGAUUGGAGUCUGCAACUCGACUCCAUGAAGUUGGAAUCGCUAGUAAUCGUGGAUCAGCAUGCCACGGUGAAUACGUUCCCGGGCCUU
rnacentral:rRNA from 1 species